rnacentral:piRNA from 1 species
UUUAUGAUAGAGCACAAAGGCUG